rnacentral:rRNA from 1 species
GGAAUAUUGGUCAAUGGGGGCAACCCUGAACCAGCCAUGCCGCGUGCAGGAAGACUGCCCUAUGGGUUGUAAACUGCUUUUAUGGGGAAUAAACCUCAUUACGUGUAAUGAGCUGAACGUACCAGAAGAAUAAGGAUCGGCUAACUCCGUGCCAGCAGCCGCGGUAAUACGGAGGAUCCAAGCGUUAUCCGGAUUUAUUGGGUUUAAAGGGUGCGUAGGCGGCCAAUUAAGUCAGAGGUGAAAGACGGUAGCUCAACUAUCGCAGUGCCUUUGAUACUGAUUGGCUUGAAUGAACUAGAGGUAGGCGGAAUGAGACAAGUAGCGGUGAAAUGCAUAGAUAUGUCUCAGAACACCGAUUGCGAAGGCAGCUUACUAUGGUUCUAUUGACGCUGAGGCACGAAAGCGUGGGGAUCAAACAGGAUUAGAUACCCGAG